rnacentral:rRNA from 1 species
ACGUAGGGGGCAAGCGUUAUCCGGAUUUACUGGGUGUAAAGGGAGCGUAGGCGGCCAGUCAAGUCAGAAGUGAAAGCCCGGGGCUUAACCCCGGGACUGCUUUUGAAACUGUCUGGCUAGAUUGCAGGAGAGGUAAGUGGAAUUCCUAGUGUAGCGGUGAAAUGCGUAGAUAUUAGGAGGAACACCAGUGGCGAAGGCGGCUUACUGGACUGUAAAUGACGCUGAGGCUCGAAAGCGUGGGGAGCAAACAG